rnacentral:tRNA from 1 species
GCUGGUGUAGCUCAGUGGUAGAGCACCUCCUUGGUAAGGAGGAGGUCGAGGGUUCAAUCCCCUCCACCAGCUCCA